GUGUAAAAAGCGAAAUAUUUGCAUCCGACUUCGGAUCGGACUUUGGGGAAAAAUCCUCUUUAUACU
rnacentral:tRNA from 1 species